rnacentral:lncRNA from 1 species
UUUCGAUGUGCAGAAACUAAAAUUGCUCCUCUACUCAGCCAAAUCCCCAUUCAAUAAGUAGAUUUGAAUUUUCAGAGAUAUAGAAGUAGUCACGAUAUUGUCGAUUGAAUUUCGGAGCUACAAUUUUGGUCGGUGGAAGAAAUGAAGAGGAAUAAUGAUUUAAGGUUCACCACAAAUAAUAUCUACCAACAUACCAAUAGUG